AAAUGAACGACUCCGGAGGAAGAGGGCAGUUCCUCCACUCUGGGGUGCCCCUCCUGCCCUCUAACUUCUAAGCCACACUGGAAACUGACCCCCAACCUUCAGAAGUGUGGGCAUCUCUGGGCCUCUGCUCUGGGCUAAAUGAGGCGCACUCUCUCAGCCUGGGAAACGGGCCCCUGCCAGUUCUGAGCCAGAUCCCCAGAAAACAGGACCCGCCUCGGAAGAUAGGGAUAGUAGAGGGACUUUUGGGGAUGAAACAGGAUGAUCCCCUUAACAUGCUAAGCAUGACCUUGAGCAAAGAAGCAACUGCCUUGGAAAUGCCAUUCAGUUGGUAAUACUGCAGGCCUGCAGCUGUGUGUCUUUGAGCAAGCUGCCUACCCUCUCUGUGCCUUAUCAGGAGAGGGUGACUCUGUGCCGACUUUACAAGGCUAUGGGAAGGACACAAUGAACUAAGACUCCAGUGAUCACAACCAGUCCAUGCUGAGCUGCCUCGUCACAAAGGCCCUGGUGCUGACUUCUGUUCUGAACCUCACCCAGGACUCUUCUCCACCGGGUAGGAAAAUCGAGUCCCUGAGGACUUUGGCAAAGGUCAGGGGCAGCCACGACACAGCUCUGUGGCCAACCCAAGUGGACACCAAGGCCCUGGGGGUGACAAGGGGACAUGGAUGAGAACCCCCCCGCCUUCGGAGGCCAUUCUCGAGGUCCCAGGAGAGGCCCCAUGACAAUGAGACAGCGGGCAGCUGGUGCGGGGGGCCUGGACGCCCGGGGAACUCCCCACUGGCUCCUGCUGGCCCAAGAGCGGAGGCCCUGAGCCAGUCACUGGCCCAGCAUCCGGUGUCACUUACAAACACAGGACGGCUGCCACCUUCUGCAGGAGAACUGGCCCUCCCGCGCCAGUCCCCAGGCCACACCAGGCACUGUGGGGGGUGCCUGGCCCAGGGCUGGCACGGAGGGGCUCAGGCUGAGUGGGAGACGGGGCAGAACAGGCAGGCAUGGGGGGAGACCUGGGGAUCCCAAACAAAGGCAGAGCCUGGGAAGCACCCACUCGACCUACCUCCCAUUAUCUGGACCCAGGUUUCUACAAAACAUGAGAGCUCUCUGC
rnacentral:lncRNA from 10 species